GAUGAACGCUAGCGGCAGGCUUAAUACACGCAAGUCGAGGGGCAUCAAGGUACACGAAAGUGUAUUGUUGGCGACCGGCGGACGGGUGAGUAAUAGGUAGGUAACCUACCUCAUACUGAGGCAUAGCUGGGAGAAAUUCCAGGUAAUUCCUCAUGAGGUUAUAUGACACAUGUGAUAUAAUCAAAGGUAUCGCAAGGUACUGGUAUGAGAUGGGCUUACUGACCAUUAGCUAGUUGGUGAGAUAAGAGCUCACCAAGGCGAAGAUGGUUAGGGGUUUUGAGAGAGAGAUCCCCCACAUUGGAACUGAGAUACGGUCCAGACUCCUACGGGAGGCAGCAGUAGGGAAUAUUGGGCAAUGGGCGGAAGCCUGACCCAGCCAUGCCGCGUGAAGGAAGACGGCCUUAUGGGUUGUAAACUUCUUUACUAUGCGACUAACUAGAUUUACGAGAUAAUUCUAUAGAAUGUAGCAUAGCAAAAGCACCGGCUAA
rnacentral:rRNA from 1 species